AUGUCCACUUGGCCUGAAAGUCUGUCUUAUCACGCUCUGCCGAAGACAGGGGAGAUCUGCCGGAACAGCCGCAUGGCUUUUUUAGAAGUUCUUCCGUGUUCCUCGCUCCCCACCCCACCCCGCUUCCUGGCAUCGAAGAUGGGAACCAGCAAGACUUUCGUACCAAGAAAAUACAGAGAAGCACGCCUGACCCUGACCGCGAACCCUCAGGCCGCCGAGAAAGGACCUCCGAGGCUCUGGGGCAAGGGCAGGCAAAAGCAGGGUGUGGUUUUUUGGAGUGAUGGAGGCGGGGAGUAA
rnacentral:lncRNA from 1 species